UACGUAGGUGGCAAGCGUUAUCCGGAUUUACUGGGUGUAAAGGGCGUGUAGGCGGGACUGCAAGUCAGAUGUGAAACCCAUGGGCUCAACCCAUGGCCUGCAUUUGAAACUGUAGUUCUUGAGUGAUGGAGAGGCAGGCGGAAUUCCGUGUGUAGCGGUGAAAUGCGUAGAUAUACGGAGGAACACCAGUGGCGAAGGCGGCGAUCUGGGGUGCAACUGACGCUCAGUCCCGAAAGCGUGGGGAGCAAAUAGG
rnacentral:rRNA from 1 species